AAAAGGCACGGUCCUGGCCUUACUAUCGGCUAUUUCUUAACCUACACAUGCAAGUCUCAGCACUCCCGUGAGGACGCCCUUAUCACCUAAAAAGGCUUAGGAGCCGGUAUCAGGCACAGCAUACUUGCCCAUGACACCUAGUCUCACCACACCCCCAAGGGUAUUCAGCAGUGACAAAUAUUGAUAAAUGAGCGACAGCUUGAUUCAGUUAUAGAAAAGUAGGGUCGGCCAACGCUGGUGCCAGCCGCCGCGGAUACACCAGAACGGACCCAAGUUGAUAGCCACUCGGCGUCAAGCGUGGUUAAAGUAGAUAAAAACCAAUAGAGAAAAACUGGUAUGUAGCUGUGAUAAGCUGCCACAAAGGAAGCCCAUUAACGAAAGUAGCUCUAUAAUAUACUUGAACACACGACAGCUAGGAAACAAACUGAGAUUAGGUACCCCACUAUGCCUAGCCGUAAAAUAACUUACACCAACACGCCAGGGGAUUACGAGCCAAGCUUAAAACCCAAAGGACUUGACGGUGUCCUACCCCACUAGAGGAGCCUGUCCUAGAAUCGAUAAUCCCCGCUUAACCUUACCAUUUCUGGCUUGAUUCAGUUAGUAUACUUCCGUCGUCAGCUCACCAUAUGAAUGUACGCAGUGGGCACAAGGAUUUUCCACCAAUACGUCAGGUCAAGGUGCAGCUCAAGAAAUGGUUGAGAUGGGCUACAAUCUCUAAAUUAGAACACACGAAAUACUGAAUGAAAAAACAGUCACGAAGGUGGAUCUAGUAGUAAAAAGAAAAUAGCGAGUUCUUUUUAACAGAGGCACUUGGGCACGUACAAACCGCCCGUCACCCUCCUCGAUAAAAUCUUUUUAGUCCAUAACAAUACUUUUUCCUAAGAGGAGGCAAGUCGUAACAAGGUAAGUGUACUGGAAAGUGCACUUGGUUUAG
rnacentral:ncRNA from 2 species